UACGUAGGGGGGCUAGCGUUGUCCGGAUUUAUUGGGGCGUAAAGAGCGUGUAGGCGGCCUGGUAGGUCUGCUGUGAAAAACUCGAGGCUCAACCUCGAGAUGUCGGCGGAAACCAUCUGGCUAGAGUCCGGAAGAGGAGAGUGGAAUUCCUGGUGUAGGCGGUGAAAUGCGCAGAUAUCAGGAAGAACACCUAUGGCGAAGGCAGCUCUCUGGGACGGUACUGACGCUGAGACGCGAAAGCGUGGGGAGCGAACAGG
rnacentral:rRNA from 1 species